rnacentral:rRNA from 1 species
AUUGAACGCUAGCGGGAUGCUUUACACAUGCAAGUCGAACGAGUGGCGGACGGGUUAGUAAUAUAUCGGAACGUGCCCAGUAGAGGGGGCUAAAUACUCGAAAGGGGGCUAAUAACGCCAACUAAUGGAGCGGCCGAUAUCGGAGUAGCUAGGUGGUGGGGUAAAGGCUCACCAAGGCCACGAUCCGUAGCUGGUUUGAGGGGACGACCAGCCACACUGGGACUGAGACACGGCCCAGACUCCUACGGGAGGCAGCAGUGGGGAAUUUUGGACAAUGGGGGAAACCCUGAUCCAGCCAUCCCGCGUGUAUGAAGAAGGCCCUAGGGUUGUAAAGUACUUUCAGUCGGGAGGCGUUACCGACAGAAGAAGCACCGGCUAACUCCGUGCCAGCAGCCGCGGUAAUUC